AUUGAACGCUGGCGGCAGGCCUAACACAUGCAAGUCGAACGAGUGGCGGACGGGUGAGUAAUGUCUGGGAAACUGCCCGAUGGAGGGGGAUAACUACUGGAAACGGUAGCUAAUACCGCAUCCCAUCGGCUGUGCCCAGAUGGGAUUAGCUAGUAGGUGGGGUAACGGCCCACCAACGCCACGAUGCAUAGCCGACCUGAGAGGGUGAUCGGCCACACUGGAACUGAGACAGGGUCCAGCCUCCUACGGUAGGCAGCAGUGGGGAAUAGUGCACAAGGGGCGCAAGCCUGAUGCAGCCAUGCCGCGUGUAUGAAGAAGGCCUUCGGGGUGUAAAGUACUUUCAGCGAGGAGGCGUUACUCGCAGAAGAAGCACCGGCUAACUCCGUGCCAGCAGCCGCGGUAAUAC
rnacentral:rRNA from 1 species